rnacentral:rRNA from 1 species
UUCACAGGUUGAAACACUGGGUGGCGAGUGGCGAACGGGUGAGUAAAAUAUCGGAACGUAUCCUGUAGAGGGGGAUAGCCCGGCGAAAGCCGGAUUAAUACCGCAUAUGCUCAAAAGAGGAAGGCGGGGGACCGGAUGGGUGACCAUUGGGCCUCGCGCUAGAGGGGCGGCCGAUGUCGGAUUAUGCUAGUUGGUGGGGUAAGGGCCUACCAAGGCGGUGAUCCGUAGCGGGUCUGAGAGGAUGAUCCGCCACACUGGGACUGAGACACGGCCCAGACUCCUACGGGAGGCAGCAGUGGGGAAUUUUGGACAAUGGGGGCAACCCUGAUCCAGCAA